UUAAUUAGUAUUAGUUAUAUUCUUAAAAAUUAAAUAAUUUGGCAGUAUUAUAAUCUUUUCAGAGGAACCUGUUCUAUAAUUGAUAUUCCACGAUAAAUUGUACUUAUUUUAGAAAUUUGUAUAUCGUUGUUUUUGAAUUUUUUAUUAGAAUUUAAAUAUUCAAUAUUUUAAAAUUAAAAUAUAAAUCAGAUCAAGAUGCAGUUUAUAUCUAAGAAAGUAAUGGGUUACAUUAAUUUUUAAUUAUAGUUUAAUAAAUUAAAAUUAUUAUUAAAUUGGAUUUGAAAGUAAUUUUUUUAUUUAAAUAAAAUGAUUUUAGUUUUAUAAUAUGUACACAUCGCCCGUC
rnacentral:rRNA from 1 species